rnacentral:ncRNA from 1 species
AAUCGGGAGAACUGGCCCUGCCAGUGCCGAAGGAGCAACCGCCCCCGGAAACUCUCAGGCGACGGGACCGAUUU